rnacentral:rRNA from 1 species
GAUCAUGGCUCAGGAUGAACGCUGGCGGCGUGCCUAACACAUGCAAGUCGAGCGAUUCUCUUCGGAGAAGAGCGGCGGACGGGUGAGUAACGCGUGGGUAACCUGCCUCAUACACAUGGAUAACAUACCGAAAGGUAUGCUAAUACAGGAUAAUAUAAGAAAUUCACAUGGAUUUCUUAUCAAAGCUCCGGCGGUAUGAGAUGGACCCGCGUCUGAUUAGCUAGUUGGUAAGGUAACGGCUUACCAAGGCGACGAUCAGUAGCCGACCUGAGAGGGUGAUCGGCCACAUUGGAACUGAGACACGGUCCAAACUCCUACGGGAGGCAGCAGUGGGGAAUAUUGCACAAUGGGCGAAAGCCUGAUGCAAGCAACGCCGCGUGAGUGAUGAAGGCCUUCGGGUCGUAAAACUCUGUCCUCAAGGAAGAUAAUGACGGUACUUGAGGAGGAAGCCCCGGCUAACUACGUGCCAGCAGCUGC